rnacentral:rRNA from 1 species
GAUGAACGCUGGCGGCGUGCUUAACACAUGCAAGUCGAACGAAGCACUUAAGAUUGAUUCUUCGGAUGACGUCUUUUGUGACUUAGUGGCGGACGGGUGAGUAACGCGUGGGUAACCUGCCUCACACAGGGGGAUAACAGUUAGAAAUGACUGCUAAUACCGCAUAACCCGAUAGGAUCGCAUGAUCCAGACGGAAAAGAUUUAUCGGUGUGAGAUGGACCCGCGUCUGAUUAGCUAGUUGGUGAGGUAACGGCCCACCAAGGCGACGAUCAGUAGCCGGCCUGAGAGGGUGAACGGCCACAUUGGGACUGAGACACGGCCCAAACUCCUACGGGAGGCAGCAGUGGGGAAUAUUGCACAAUGGGGGAAACCCUGAUGCAGCGACGCCGCGUGAGUGAAGAAGUAUUUCGGUAUGUAAAGUUCUAUCAGCAGGGAAGAAAAUGACGGUACCUGACUAAGAAGCCCCGGCUAACUACGUG